AGUUUGAUCCUGGCUCAGGACGAACGCUGGCGGCGCGCCUAACACAUGCAAGUCGAGCGACGAAAGGGCCUUCGGGCCCCUGAAAGCGGCGAACGGGUGAGUAACACGUGGGUAACCCACCCUUGGCACCGGGAUAGCCCGGGGAAACCCGGAUCAAUACCGGAUGGCCUCGCGGGUCUGCGGAUCCGCGAGAAAAGGUAGCUUCGGCUUCCGGCCGGGGACGGGCCCGCGGCCGAUUAGCUUGUUGGCGGGGUAAUGGCCCACCAAGGCGACGAUCGGUAGCUGGUCUGAGAGGACGAUCAGCCACACUGGGACUGAGACACGGCCCAGACUCCUACGGGAGGCAGCAGUGGGGAAUCUUGCGCAAUGGGCGAAAGCCUGACGCAGCGACGCCGCGUGCGGGAAGAAGGCCUUCGGGUUGUAAACCGCUUUCAGGAGGGACGAAGCCACUCGGGUGAACAGCCCAGAGGGUGACGGUACCUUCAGAAGAAGCCCCGGCUAACUACGUGCCAGCAGCCGCGGUAAUACGUAGGGGGCCAGCGUUGUCCGGAUUCAUUGGGCGUAAAGCGCGUGUAGGCGGCCUGGUAGGUCCGAUGUGAAAACUCGAGGCUCAACCUCGAGAGGUCAUUGGAAACCAUCAGGCUAGAGUCCGGAAGAGGAGAGUGGAAUUCCUGGUGUAGCGGUGAAAUGCGCAGAUAUCAGGAAGAACACCAAUGGCGAAGGCAGCUCUCUGGGACGGUACUGACGCUGAGACGCGAAAGCGUGGGGAGCGAACAGGAUUAGAUACCCUGGUAGUCCACGCCGUAAACGAUGGGCGCUAGGUGUGGGCGGUGUCGACUCCGUCCGUGCCGAAGCUAACGCAUUAAGCGCCCGCCUGGGGAGUACGGCCGCAAGGCUAAAACUCAAAGGAAUUGA
rnacentral:rRNA from 1 species